rnacentral:rRNA from 1 species
AUUUGAAGAGCUUGCUCAGAUAUGACGAUGGACAUUGCAAAGAGUGGCGAACGGGUGAGUAACACGUGGGAAACCUACCUCUUAGCAGGGGAUAACAUUUGGAAACAGAUGCUAAUACCGUAUAACAAUAGCAACCGCAUGGUUGCUACUUAAAAGAUGGUUCUGCUAUCACUAAGAGAUGGUCCCGCGGUGCAUUAGUUAGUUGGUGAGGUAAUGGCUCACCAAGACGAUGAUGCAUAGCCGAGUUGAGAGACUGAUCGGCCACAAUGGGACUGAGACACGGCCCAUACUCCUACGGGAGGCAGCAGUAGGGAAUCUUCCACAAUGGGCGAAAGCCUGAUGGAGCAACGCCGCGUGUGUGAUGAAGGGUUUCGGCUCGUAAAACACUGUUGUAAGAGAAGAAUGACAUUGAGAGUAACUGUUCAAUGUGUGACGGUAUCUUACCAGAAAGGAACGGCUAAAUACGUGCCAGCAGCCGCGGUAAUACGUAUGUUCCAAGCGUUAUCCGGAUUUAUUGGGCGUAAAGCGAGCGCAGACGGUUAUUUAAGUCUGAAGUGAAAGCCCUCAGCUCAACUGAGGAAUUGCUUUGGAAACUGGAUGACUUGAGUGCAGUAGAGGAAAGUGGAACUCCAUGUGUAGCGGUGAAAUGCGUAGAUAUAUGGAAGAACACCAGUGGCGAAGGCGGCUUUCUGGACUGUAACUGACGUUGAGGCUCGAAAGUGUGGGUAGC